UGACUUUCGACUCAUGUUUUGACAUUCCUUCAUUUCGUACUUUGUCAAAAUCAUCUGCUAGUCCCUGGACGAAAAAUGCGUAGCAUAAAAAACAAUUUGAAAUGUCAGCUUAAUACGAUAUUUAAAAAUUAAUUACAACUAAAAGAAAGUGCAAGGCCCCAGCUUCAGUUAAUCCUACAUAUUAAAAUAGCUUUGGGUCUGUCAGAUGCUAUUACCCAUGCCAAUGUGAAGUCCGGGCUAUUGGCGAAUAUGUUUCUCCUUAAAGUCCCGCGGCAGCAAUUGCAUUAAUUACUUUUGCCAGCCAGAAACCGAACGAGGCGCAGCGCUGCACACACAAAUGAAUAAUUAAAGUCAUUAAUUUCAAUUUAUGCAAAUGCGUCUGUAAACAACUUGUUGCAAUUCAUAAUAAAUAAAUUAAAA